rnacentral:rRNA from 1 species
UACAGAGGGUGCGAGCGUUAAUCGGAAUUACUGGGCGUAAAGCGCGCGUAGGCGGCUUUGCAAGUCGGGUGUGAAAUCCCCAGGCUUAACCUGGGAACUGCAUUCGAGACUGCAUUGCUAGGGUAUGGGAGAGGGAAGUGGAAUUUCCGGUGUAGCGGUGAAAUGCGUAGAUAUCGGAAGGAACAUCAGUGGCGAAAGCAGCUCGCUGGAACGGUACUGACGCUGAGGCGCGAAAGCGUGGGGAGCGAACAGG